GAUGAAGAACGCAGCGAAAUGCGAUAAGUAAUGCGAAUUGCAGAAUUUCCGUGAGUCAUCGAAUCUUUGAACGCACAUUGCGCCCACUGGUAUUCCGGUGGGCAUGCCUGUUCGAGCGUCAUUAUCCUCCCUCAAACCCCGGGUUUGGUGUUGGACCCAAGUUGUGUGAACAACUGGUCUCAAAGACAAUGACGGCGUCCGUGGGACCCUCGGUGCAACGAGCUUUUAGGAGCACGCAUCGAGUUGCAAGGGCCUUCCGGGCCGGUCUCCUUUACCAUUUUACAAGGUUGACCUCGGAUCAGGUAGGAAUACCCGCUGAACUUAAGCAUAUCAAUAAGCGGAGGA
rnacentral:misc_RNA from 1 species